CACGAGGCUAGAGUCACACCUUGGCAUUGUUGUCUUGGCGUGCUAAAGUGCUCGCAGAUUAAAAAUGUCGGUAUUUAUUCAUUGGCUGUAGUCUGGAGUGGCCCAGCCAAUCACCAAAUCUGACACAUCA